AUUGAACGCUGGCGGCAGGCCUAACACAUGCAAGUCGAACGGUAACAGGAAGCAGCUUGCUGCUUCGCUGACGAGUGGCGGACGGGUGAGUAAUGUCUGGGAAGCUGCCUGAUGGAGGGGGAUAACUACUGGAAACGGCAGCUAAUACCGCAUAAUGUCGCAAGACCAAAGAGGGGGACCUUCGGGCCUCUUGCCAUCGGAUGUGCCCAGAUGGGAUUAGCUUGUUGGUGGGGUAACGGCUCACCAAGGCGACGAUCCCUAGCUGGUCUGAGAGGAUGACCAGCCACACUGGGACUGAGACACGGUCCAGACUCCUACGGGAGGCAGCAGUGGGGAAUAUUGCACAAUGGGCGCAAGCCUGAUGCAGCCAUGCCGCGUGUAUGAAGAAGGCCUUCGGGUUGUAAAGUACUUUCAGCGGGGAGGAAGGGAGUAAAGUUAAUACCUCUGCUCAUUGACGUUACCCGCAGAAGAAGCACCGGCUAACUCCGUG
rnacentral:rRNA from 1 species